rnacentral:rRNA from 1 species
UACAGAGGGGGCGAGCGUUAUUCGGAAUUAUUGGGCGUAAAGGGCGCGUAGGCGGCCUUUCAAGUGACGGGUGAAAUCCCUCGGCUUAACCGAGGAACUGCCUGUCAGACUGGAAGGCUUGAGACCGGGAGAGGUGAGUGGAAUUCCCAGUGUAGCGGUGAAAUGCGUAGAUAUUGGGAGGAACACCAGUGGCGAAGGCGGCUCACUGGACCGGUACUGACGCUGAGGCGCGAAGGCGUGGGGAGCAAACAGG